AAAAAUAAUUUACAUUUAAUAUUUCAUUUCUUAAACAUAAAAUUAAAAAUACACAAAAAACACUAAUAAACAAGCCUUUUUAAACUAGUAAUAUCAACCCAUUUAAUCCAUAAGCCUAUUAAAAACCACCAGCCCAUGCCCAUUACCAUCUAACCUAAUACACAAUUAAGCCUACCUCUUACAUACCCUAUAUUUCAUUAAUUCGCGUACUGCAUACCCGCACCAUGACUUGAGAGUACAGUGUAUUAGGUAACUAUGUCAUUGUCUACAAAGGAGUUGACCUCACAGGGUGUGCUUAGCACCUUGGUGCACCUCAAUGAGGUCACACACCUUUGCAAGCCCCAGUGCGCCUUUUGCCUCAGACACACCUUUCACAACUAUGGCUAAUUUGAGCUUAUAAACAUCUAAAAUUUUA
rnacentral:misc_RNA from 1 species